rnacentral:tRNA from 1 species
GGAUAGCUCAGAUGGUAGAGCAGAGGACUGAAAA